AGUUGAUUCUCUUCGGAGAUGAAGCUAGCGGCGGACGCUUUAGAACACGUGGGCAACCUGCCUCAUAGAGGGGAAUAGCCUCCCGAAAGGGAGAUUAAUACCGCAUAAGAUUGUAGCUUCGCAUGAAGUAGCAAUUAAAGGAGUAAUCCGCUAUGAGAUGGGCCCGCGGCGCAUUAGCUAGUUGGUGAGGUAACGGCUCACCAAGGCGACGAUGCGUAGCCGACCUGAGAGGGUGAUCGGCCACAUUGGGACUGAGACACGGCCCAGACUCCUACGGGAGGCAGCAGUGGGGAAUAUUGCACAAUGGGGGGAACCCUGAUGCAGCAACGCCGCGUGAGUGAUGACGGCCUUCGGGUUGUAAAGCUCUGUCUUCAGGGACGAUAAUGACGGUACCUGAGGAGGAAGCCACGGCUAACUACGUGCCAGCAGCCGCGGUAAUACGUAGGUGGCGAGCGUUGUCCGGAUUUACUGGGCGUAAAGGGAGCGUAGGCGGACUUUUAAGUGAGAUGUGAAAUACCCGGACUCAACUUGGGUGCUGCAUUUCAAACUGGAAGUCUAGAGUGCAGGAGAGGAGAAUGGAAUUCCUAGUGUAGCGGUGAAAUGCGUAGAGAUUAGGAAGAACACCAGUGGCGAAGGCGAUUCUCUGGACUGUAACUGA
rnacentral:rRNA from 1 species